rnacentral:lncRNA from 1 species
CUGUUAUUUAAAAAUGCAAUUUUUUCCGGUGUUUUCGUUUUAUUUUCCAUACACAGUACUUGAGACGGAUGACCAGGAGUUCUACAAAACUAAAGUCUGCUUCAUCCUAAACAAUGACGUGAGUGAAAUGGAUUUGGUGUUUGCCGAGGAGAAGUACAGCACAGUCGGGACAGCUGGAGAAGGUGGUGGAGCUAAUAUCAGGGGGAUCUCAAAUCGCUGUUAAUAAUGAAAACAAGAUUCAUUAUCUCAACCUGCUGGCCCAGUACAGACUAGCCAGCCAGGUGAGAGAUGAGGUGGAACACUUCCUGAAAGGUGAGGAAACACACAGCUGCAGCCUGCCACUUUCUUUGCCAAUUCCUCUAAUUUGAGAUCUCCGGUAAUGUGCAUGUAAUUAGUGUAAUUUCCUUUUUCAAUUGCAGGCUUGAACGAACUGGUUCCAGAAAACCUGCUAGCCAUAUUUGAUGAGAAUGAGUUAGAGGUAUGUGUGAUGAAUAUAAUACAAUCCAGUUGAUCUUUAAAACACUGCUGGGUAAUAGUUAUUUGUUUUCCUUUUUAAUCACUUCAGCUGUGAUGUGUGGCACCGGUGAUAUAAACGUGCAGGACUUCAAGGACCCAUGCUGUGAUUGUUGGAGGAUCAUGGCACUUUAGAGAGAAAGUAUGUCACAGGAACUGUUUCUCCAUUUUCUUCAAACUAGCAGGCCAGUGAUUACAUUGCCUAAGCAUUUUUGAUUUUUCUGUCUCAACAGGUGAUGAGGUGGUUCUGGGCCGUGGAUGUCCAGCUUCACCCAGGAGGAGUUGGCGCGUCUGCUACAGUUCACCACCGGCUUCCUCUCAGCUGCCCCCUGGGGGAUUCAACACCCUUUGCCCCUCCUUCCAGAUCAUUGCUGCCCCCCACACACAGCACCUUGCCCACUGCACACACAUGGUGAGUAGGAAAACACCGGCAGGUUUUCUCUGUCCUCUCUCGCCUCUCUCACUCACUAGAGGCAUACAAUGGUCAAAAGAAUAAGUUAUAGAAUAUCACCACAUUAUAAAUGUUUUAGAUCUACAAAUGUUUCAAUUAUGUGACAAUGAGCUUAAUCUAGAAAUGUUACAGGAAAUGCUUGAUUGGGAUCUAAACAUUAGCUGAUUGUUGUCCAAUUUUUUUUUAUCAAGUUUUAACAGCUGUGUCUCCCUACGUACGAACUCCCUAUGAGGAACUGCACAAG